AGACCCGAAACCGGCGCGAUCUAUCCAUGGCCAGGUUGAAGAUUAGGUAGUACUAAUUGGAGGACCGAACCCAAUACUGUUGCAAAAGUAUGGGAUGAGCUGUGGAUCGGAGUGAAAGGCUAAUCAAGCACGGAGAUAGCUGGUUCUCCCCGAAAACUAUUUAGGUAGUGCCUCGUGUAUAACUCAUUGGGGUAAAGCACUGUUUCGACAAUGGGGGUUUUACGACCUUACUGACUCGAUGCAAACUCAGAAUACGAUGAAGUUCGAUCACGGGAGACACACUGCGGGUGCUAAGGUCCGCAGUGGAAAGGGAAACAGCCCAGACCGCCAACUAAGGUCCCAAAGUCAUAGCUAAGUGGGAAACGAAGUGGGAAGGCCCAGACAGCCAGGAGGUUGGCUUAGAAGCAGCCACCCUUUAAAGAAAGCGUAAUAGCUCACUGGUCGAGUCGGCCUGCACGUAAGAUUUAACGGGGCUAAGCUAUGCACUGAAGUUGCGGAAUAUAUUUAGUAUAUUGGUAGGGGAGCGUUCUGUAAGCCGAUGAAGGUGAAUUGAGAAGUUUGCUGGAGGUAUCAGAAGUGCGAAUGCUGACAUGAGUAACGUAAAAUAAGUGAGAUUCUUAUUGGCCGAAAACCCAAGGGUUCCUACGCAAUGUUAAUCAACGUAGGGUAAGCCGGCCCCUAAGGCGUAGCUGAAGAGUGAAGUCGAUGGGAAACAGGUUAAUAUUCCUGUGCUGCUUAUAUGAACGAAGGAGGGACGGAGAAGGUUAGGUAGGCCUGGCGAAUGGUUGUCCAGGUGAAAGUAUGUAGGUAGGAAUGCUAGGCAAAUCCGGUGUUCUGUUGAUCUGAGAUACGAGACGAAGUUAAACUUGUUUGACGAAGCUAUUGAUACCAUGCUUCCAGGAAAAGCUUCUAAGUAUAUUGUAUAAGUGACCGUACUGUAAACCGACACUGGUGGGUAGGUAGAGAAUACUAAGGCUAUGAGAUAACUCUGGUGAAGGAACUAGGCAAAAUGACACCGUAACUUUGGAAGAAGGUGUGCCCUUGAUGGUGAUGAGACUUGCUCUUUGAGCUGUUGGGGGUUGCAGAUACCAGGUGGCUGCGACUGUUUAUCAAAAACACAGCACUCUGCGAAAUCGUAAGAUGAAGUAUAGGGUGUGACGCCUGCCCGGUGCUGGAAGGUUAAUUGAAGGGGUUAGCGCAAGCGAAGCUCUGGAUCGAAGCCCCAGUAAACGGCGGCCGUAACUAUAACGGUCCUAAGGUAGCGAAAUUCCUUGUCGGGUAAGUUCCGACCUGCACGAAUGGCGUAACGAUGGCCACACUGUCUCCACCAGAGACUCAGUGAAAUUGAAAUCGCUGUGAAGAUGCAGUGUACCCGCGGUUAGACGGAAAGACCCCGUGAACCUUUACUAUAGCUUUGCACUGGACUUUGAAUAUUUAUGUGUAGGAUAGGUGGGAGACCAUGAAGCAGCUACGCCAGUAGUUGUGGAGUCGUCCUUGAAAUACCACCCUUGAAUAUUUGAAGUUCUAACUCAGGAGAGAUUCGAGGACAGUGUAUGGUGGGUAGUUUGACUGGGGCGGUCUCCUCCUAAAGAGUAACGGAGGAGUACGAAGGUGCACUCGGUACGGUCGGAAAUCGUGCCAAGAGUAUAAAGGCAAAAGUGCGCUUGACUGCGAGAGUGACGGCUCGAGCAGGUACGAAAGUAGGUCUUAGUGAUCCGGUGGUCCCGAAUGGAAGGGUCAUCGCUCAACGGAUAAAAGGUACUCCGGGGAUAACAGGCUAAUUCCUCCCAAGAGUUCAUAUCGACGGAGGAGUUUGGCACCUCGAUGUCGGCUCAUCACAUCCUGGGGCUGAAGUAGGUCCCAAGGGUAUGGCUGUUCGCCAUUUAAAGUGGUACGCGAGCUGGGUUCAGAACGUCGUGAGACAGUUCGGUCCCUAUCUGCCGUGGGCGUUAGAGAUUUGAGAAGAGUUGCUCCUAGUACGAGAGGACCGGAGUGAACGAACCACUGGCGUUCCGGUUGUUUCGCCAGAAGCAUUGCCGGGUAGCUACGUUUGGACGGGAUAAACGCUGAAAGCAUCUAAGCGUGAAGCCUCCUUCAAGAUUAGAUCUCUCUGAUGAAAAUCAGUAAGGAACGUUGGAGACUACGACGUUGAUAGGCUGGGUGUGGAAGUACAGCAAUGUAUGAAGCUUACCAGUACUAAUGAUCCGAGAGACUUAAGUCUAU
rnacentral:rRNA from 1 species